CGCGUAGGUGGUUAUUUAAGUCAGAUGUGAAAUCCCUGGGCUUAACCUAGGAAUUGCAUUUGAAACUAGAUGGCUAGAGUACGGUAGAGGGAAGUGGAAUUUCCGGUGUAGCGGUGAAAUGCGUAGAUAUCGGAAGGAACAUCAGUGGCGAAGGCGACUUCCUGGACCGUUACUGACACUGAGGCGCGAAAGCGUGGGGAGCGAACA
rnacentral:rRNA from 1 species